AAACAAUAGCAAAAUUGCAUUUCGAUUUCGGCUCGAAAAGUGGAUUAUAUCCAUUGUUUA
rnacentral:tRNA from 1 species